UGCGUAGGCGGGCUAAUAAGUCAGUGGUGAAAUCUCUCGGCUCAACCGGGAAACUGCCAUUGAUACUGUUAGUCUUGAGUUCGGUUGAGGUAGGCGGAAUGUGUAAUGUAGCGGUGAAAUGCUUAGAUAUUACACAGAACACCAAUUGCGUAGGCAGCUUACUAGACCGACACUGACGCUGAGGCACGAAAGCGUGGGGAGCGAACAGGAUUAGAUACCCUGGCAGUCC
rnacentral:rRNA from 1 species